UUUAAAAUUCACAUUGUCUGACGCAAUCUAAUUACUCAAUGGUAUAAUAUAGACCUAACUGUGCAAAUAUCAAUUAUGAUGAUCUUUUUUCUAGGCAUCAGCCUGAAGACCGAGGGAGGUUAGAUAGGACCAGUGCAGGUUGAAGUGGAUUUCGAGGCAACAAGGUAUAACAGCAAGAGAGGUACUCCAUUUACAGUGAUGAUGACAUAUCCCCUGGACCCCCACAACUCCACAAACUUAAAAAUGUUUGAUCAAGUUCCGAAGAUUAAAGAACUACUGCAAAAUUUGGGACUGGAUGAAAAACAUUAAUUCACUUAUAAGCUCAGAGCAGUGGAUGUUAUACAACAUACUUUAAACUAAAUUGUGAAUUUAAGGGAAAACAAGAUCAUGUACUCGUAUAUUACAAGUACAUGCCUUUUGAAAGACAAUAAUAUUGCAUAGAUGUAAAGGAAAUUUCAAUGUUUAUUAUUCUUUCUUAGAUAUAUUAGUAAAAAAUGUGCACAUGAUAGAAUAUAACUUCAAUCAAUGUGUUUGAAUUUUCCUUGUAUUUCAAAAUUUAGUUGAAACAUACAUCAUAGAUACAUUAAUGUAUAUCAAAUUUUUAGAAAAGUUUCAUAAUGGAACUAAUUCACCCCCCCCCCCCCCCCCCCCCCCCCCCCCCCCUUAUACAUACAGUGAACAUAGACCUUCACCUGGGGAAAACUUCAGUUAGUUAAUGCAAUAUACAUGUACAUGCAUUCUCAGUUAUCCAAUAGUGAGUUUUUGGUUCCAUGUGAAACUACAAUUAGAAAUCUUAAACUUAUGAAAGACACACCUAUCUGUGAGGGUAAGAUGACUCAGAUGGACUUACAUGUAGUGAUCCAUGGGCAGUCCAUGGGUCUCUUUCCAUUGAUAUUAAUUAUUUAUUGAAAUAUGAAAUGGUUAUUUAAACAUAUUUGGUGUAUUAUACUGUAUAGUGAUAUAAAUUUCUAUCAAAAAAUAUGUAUAGGUAAUAGAUUUGGUCCAGUUAUUACAAGAAAUUGUAUAAAAAAUAACUAAAUAUUUAGGCAAUCAUUGUGAGUGCGAAAAGGUCAACUGCAAUAGCACACACUAUAUAUCAUUCUUAAAUGGCUCAUAGAAACUUCUAGUAUUGUGAGUUUGAAUGCUCGAUAUGGUAAUUUGGGAAUGCUUAAUCAUUUAAGGUCAAUAGUUUAUCUCUGCUGAUUGUAUCUCUUAAAAUUCAUUUCUAGAAGGGAGGGGGUAGGGUUACAAAAUCUGACAUAGUUUCAGAUUAAACCUCAUUUGGUAUAUUUUUUUCUAUUCAAUAUUUUAGAUACUACUUGACUUAUUGUAAAAAUGAAAUAAAAUCAGAAAUUUUAUGAGCAGAAUUUUGUUGUUGUCAGAAAAUGUAUGCCUGAUAGUAUUUGAGAAACGCCAUAUUUAGGGUAAAUUUGGCCAAUUGCCAAGUCGAAUCAUGCCAAUGUUUUCCUUAGAUGCAUUUUGAAUUUCUAAUCCAUGUUGAUUUUUUAUCUGUUUGUGUUUAAUUUACAUAACUAUAUAUGACAAACAAUAUUUCUGGUGUCAAUAAAAUUUUUAUUGGC